AUUGAACGCUGGCGGCAGGCCUAACACAUGCAAGUCGAACGAGUGGCGGACGGGUGAGUCAUGUCUGGGAAACUGACUGAUGGAGGGAGAUAACUACUGGAAACGGUAGCUAAUACCGAAUACACUCGGAGGUGCCCAGAUGGGACUAGCUAGUGGGUGGGGUAAAGGCUCACCUAGGCGACGAGCCCUACCUGGUCUGAGAGGAUGACCAGCCAAACUGGAACUGAGACACGGUCCAGACUCCUACGGGAGGCAGCAGUGGGGAAUAUUGCACAAUGGGCGCAAGCCUGAUGCAGCAAUGCGGCGUGUAUUAAGAAGGCCUUCGGGUUGUAAAGUACUUUCAGCGGGGAGGCGUUACCCGCAGAAGAAGCACCGGCUAACUCCGUGCCAGCAGCCGCGGUAAUUG
rnacentral:rRNA from 1 species